CUCUUAUUCCGAGCUGGUGGAGGGACAGGCCCUAUGAAACCCAGCAACCUGCUCAAAGGAUGAGCGAGCGCAAAAAAGCACGCCGCUGUUUUGUAUUAGGCCAAGUUUUUGGUCGCUUGAGAAAAGGUGCUAAACCUGAGCAAGGCUUUGACCUUGACCGAUAAGAG
rnacentral:ncRNA from 2 species